UUGGCAGCUACAAGACAAUUCGAAAUCUUCUUCAGGAGAAGUGGAAGUGAAGCUUCAACUCACUAAAGAUACACUUGAUGCUAUGUUGAGGUCAAUGACUUACAUUAAUGAUCAUCUCUCUGGAAUGGUCUAUAUUGAGAUGCAUUUCUUUGGCGCAAUACUAGACAACAUUGGCAGUUGAAGUUUUUAGAAUAAAAAAUAUAUUUCACUAACAUUGUAUACAUUUCUUGUUUAAUAUUUGGUGAUGAUAGAAUUUCAUUGUAGUAUAAACUAUCAUGUAAUAUGAUUUUUUAAGCCGAGUAGACUAAAUAUUGAAAUUAUAUUUUUGAGUAAUUAAUAAAAAAUUAUUUUGUUGUA